UAUGAACGCUAGCGGCAGGCUUAACACAUGCAAGUCGAGGGGCAGCACGUCUUCGGAUGGUGGCGACCGGCGCACGGGUGAGUAACGCGUAUGCAAUCUACCUUUUACAGGGGCAUAGCCCGGGGAAACCCGGAUUAAUAUCCUAUAGUACCAUUAUAUAGCAUUAUAUUAUGGUUAAAGUUUCGGCGGUAAAAGAUGAGCAUGCGUCCUAUUAGCUUGAUGGUAAGGUAACGGCUUACCAUGGCUAUGAUAGGUAGGGGUCCUGAGAGGGAGACCCCCCACACUGGUACUGAGACACGGACCAGACUCCUACGGGAGGCAGCAGUGAGGAAUAUUGGACAAUGGGCGCAAGCCUGAUCCAGCCAUGCCGCGUGCAGGAAGACGGCCCUAUGGGUUGUAAACUGCUUUUUANACGGGAAGAAACACCCCUUCGUGAAGGGACUUGACGGUACCGUAUGAAUAAGGAUCGGCUAACUCCGUGCCAGCAGCCGCGGUAAUACGGAGGAUCC
rnacentral:rRNA from 1 species